CUGAUAUAGAGCUGCGUUUUAUUGAACGCAGCUCAAAUACGUUUGGAGCUGCGUUUUAUUAAACGCAGCUCCACAUCUGGUAUAAAUCCAACAAACCCUAAUUUUUUUCCAACACUUGAAAUUUCCCAAUCCCCAAUCUCAGCUCUCACUAUCUCAGCUCAACCUCCCGAUCCAAUCUCGCCGCCGUGCUCUCCAGAGCUCUCGCCGCCGUGCUCUCAACCCACUACCAACAAACCUCACCUCUCCUCCCUCAUCAAAACCCGAAAAAUUUGCUGACCACUAUCUGCCUGAGAAGGAACGUACGGGAAGGUGUACAAAGCUAAAGACAAAGAGAGCGGCGAAGUCGUCGCCCUCAAGAAAACCCGUCUCGAAAUGGACGAAGAAGGCGUUCCCCCGACGGCGCUCCGCGAAGUCUCCUUGCUCCAAAUGCUCUCCCAAUCUCUCUACGUCGUCCGCCUCCUCUGCGUCGAACACUCCCUCAACAAACACGGCAAGCCGCUUCUCUACCUCGUCUUCGAGUACCUCGAAACCGAUCUCAAAAAGUUCAUCGACUCUCAUCGCAAGUGCGCCAACCCUCGGCCCCUCCCUCCUUCCCAACCACAUGAGUUUGGCAUGGGUAGCACCACUGAAGCCUCUGCUUUUCAGGUGGUGCAUAUGUUCAUUCGUUAGGUGACUGCAAAUCCAUGGGAUGUGUCUCGGGUGCUAGGUGGAUCAUCAGGAGGCUCUGCGGCUGCUGUUUCUGCUAGGCAGUGUGUUGUGUCACUGGGAAGCGAUACUGGUGGAAGUGUAAGGCAGCCAGCAUCAUUUUGCGGCGUUGUUGGAUUGAAGCCAACGUAUGGACGUGUCUCAAGAUAUGGACUGAUGGCGUAUGCGUCAUCGCUUGAUGUUAUUGGCUGCUUUGGUUCAUCAGUUGCUGAUACUGGGAUUCUUCUUCAUGCGAUUUCUGGCCAUGAUAGACUUGAUGCCACAAGUAGUAAGCGACUUUUUACUUUUUACAGAGAAGACAAUAAGAGAUGGCUGAAGCAGUGGCUGUAGCAGUGGCCGGACAUAUCCUGACUGGCAUUGCAAAGAAGAUCGGCGAAAUGUUGGGCUCUACUGCUUUCGAAGGGAUUGGAUCCAUCUGUGCUGUCAAAGAUGAGUUCCAAAAAUUGAAGGGUACUCUUUCCACUAUUGAAGCUGUGUUUAAAGACGCAGAGGAGAAGCAGGACAAGAACCAUCAACUCAGGGACUGGCUCACAAAGCUCAGAGACGCAGUUUAUGAUGUGGAUGACUUGCUGGCCGAUUUCGAAACUGAAGAUCUGCGGCGAAGGGCGAUGGGGAAAAUGGCAAAGAAGGUACGUACUUUCAAACUUGCUUUUAGUCUUAGACGUAAGAUGGCUAAAAAAAUAAAAGUGAUGAGGAAGAGAUUUGAUGCAAUAGCAAAAGAUAGGAUCAAUUUCCAGUUGGUAGAACAAGGUCCUUCAGAGACUGUGACUAGGGAGAGGGACCAAACUUACUCACUUGUACAUGAAGAAGAAGUUUUUGGGAGAAAAGAUGAUAAGGAGAUCCUCAUAAAUCUACUAUUGGACUCUAAAGUGGAAGAGAAUGUCUCGUUCCUAUCUAUAGUGGGAAUUGGAGGGAUGGGGAAGACCACUCUUGCUCAGUAUGUAUACAAUGACAAGAGAGUACUGGAUUAUUUUGACUUGCGCAUGUGGGUGUGUGUCUCUGAUGUCUUUGAUGUAAAAACAAUUGCUGAAAAGAUAAUUAGAUGUGCAGAUGUUUCGAAACAUGAAAAUCUUGACAAAUAGAAAAAAAAAAAAUUCUACUUGACUAAUUAAUCCAACCUAACGUGUGUGUAUAUUAAAUUUGUUGGACUUUGAUUUAUUUUGAAAUUAGGGAUUUAGUUUACAUUUGUAAAUUUGAUUUAUUUUGUUGUUUGAGCAUUAGUUUUGAUGAAAUAAUAUUAAACCAAAUGGACGAUGGAGAAUGUCAAAUAAAUUAUAAAAGUUUACCUUCGGAUAUAAAUAGAAAAUAUAUAUGGACUAUACAAAAAACUAAUAGGGACAUCCAAUCAAACUUUUACUUGGUAGCUUAGUUGGGUUAUUGUCAUUUGGUACGUGACAAUAUAACUUAUAAGGAAUGGUGUGGUCCUGCCUAUGAUGGUCACAAAGCAAACUAAUGGGAUUUGCUUGCAAUUGUCGUCUUGCCCAACUUUUUGAAGAUUGGAGUAAAGUAAUAUGUAAAGAAUAUAUAAAACUUUCAUCUUAUAUAUAUUACCGAGCAUUAUAAUGAAAAAAAAUGUCAUUGUACUGAGAUUUGGACAUUUAUCUAUAAGAUAAAAUGUCUCAUCCAGAUUUGUUUUAUCUCUUUCAUCGAUGAAUGAAAAUUUUCAAAUAUUGGAUAUUUGAUCGAGGUCUAGAUAUAUCCUUACCUUUCAGCUACUUUGUGACAUGCUUAAUUAGGGUAGCAGCAAGUGUGCUUUGUGUCACAGUAUGCUCCUGGCCACUGUGUCAACAAAAGAUUUUUCAAAACCAAAAGAAAAAAGAGGGAAAAGAACUUGUUACGUUGAAGAGAACUAUGUUAAAGUGAGAGCAACACCAAACUAACCUGUUGAACAAAGUAAAAGAAAUCAAAAUCCUGGGAAACACAAAGAACUGAUAGAUAUUGCACUAUUAGAAGCUUGAUCAAUAUUGACCAUUUGAGCUCCAUGUUUGUUACUCUCUUUUCAACAACUCUUUGGGGAUUGGUUUAUGAGCUUUGGAAUAAUGAGAUUGUACUAGGGUUAGGUUAAAGAGACUUUAAAGCUUUGUAUUCUUUUAGCUGUACGUAGGUUUAGGCUUUAUUUAUAGGGAAAAAAAGGAAAGGUUAAGGUCCUUAAGGAUAGAAUAUCCGAGACAGUAUAUGCUUGUAGCUUGUCGAUCUUCAUUAUUAAUUUAUUGUCUUGGCUUACGUGAGUAUCGUUCUCACGUUUGUUAUGUCUUACCCUUUUUGUAUUUGCUUUGAAGUUAAUUGUUUAAUAACAAUGUCUAUGGUAUUUUCCUUCAUAUCCAAUGCUAAAAUGAAGAGCUAGCUAGGGAGGUGGAAGAGAAGCCUUAGUUUUAUCGAUCAUCCGGUGGAUAAAUCAUAAAUGUGAAUAUGAUGGGAUGGCUUACCUCAUUCAUGAUCUCUUACCUCUUGGGUGAAAAUAAAUCCAACCAACCAAAACAAUACCCCAUUUCAUAAAUGUGAAUAUUAGGGCUCUCUAUUCUCUUAAACAAAAAAAUUUGAGGCCAAAAUCAAUGUUAGGUGGUUAAUUAAAUUUUUACAAGUUUGACAUAAUUGUUAGGAUGUGUUGUUUGUUGGGAUGGUAAUUCACGUGUGUACAUAUAUGUAAAUACACGCCUUUGCAAAAGUUUUUCUUUGCUUCUUUGUUUAUAGUGUGGUGCUCAUAUACACGGGAGUUUAUGAUUAUGUGAUUGACUUUACACCUAUGUACAUCGUUUAAAUUUCUUGAAUUUUUUAAUCUAGACAAUUUGCAUUAUUCUUGCAGAAUGAGAUGCAAAUUGUUGUAAGGUAGAGAAAGCUUGGAGAGCCAGUUGGUGACACACUACUUGGAAAAACAAACUGAUCAGUACCAUCAAAGCUCCAAUAUGUGCAUUGCAGAUUAGAAGUCCGGAACCUUGUUGCUGACUCAAAAACAGGUAAAGUUUAAAGAAAAUUUCAUUGUCAAUUUAAGCAUGUAUACUUUGUUAUGUGGGGGGGGGAAAUUUUUACAGCUAUAAGCUUCUAUUGACCAAGACCAAGUGAUUGGUCUAAUUAAUGGUUCUCUGCUUCAUGUAAUCCAUAAAGUUCCGGGCUCAAAUCUUCUAAUCAAUACCUUGGACCAUUCUUUCUUGUAAUUAUACAAUGUGUCCUACUGCACUGACUGAGAUUGGUCAGCUGCUUUAAGAACCCAUGACACGCACGAGAGAGAGAGAGAGAGAUUGCUGUAUGGACCAAUGGUCCGAAUAAAACAUGCUUUUGACAACAACAUAUCUUGAUUUUAAAAAACAUAUAUGGUACUGUAGGACUAGUUAUGGAUAUGUUUGUUGGGAACUUUUGGAUAUGUUUUGUUUAUGUAAAAGUAUCAUUUAUGUAAUUAAUAUUUUGGAUACUAUAUAGUAUCAAAUAUAUAUGCAAUUUGGUAAUGAUUUCA